UUGCUAUGAACUACAGAGACCUCUGCU
rnacentral:piRNA from 1 species